UGAGGAAUAUUGGUCAAUGGACGAGAGUCUGAACCAGCCAAGUAGCGUGCAGGAAGACGGCCCUAUGGGUUGUAAACUGCUUUUAUAAGGGAAUAAAGUGAGUCUCGUGAGACUUUUUGCAUGUACCUUAUGAAUAAGGACCGGCUAAUUCCGUGCCAGCAGCCGCGGUAAUACGGAAGGUCCGGGCGUUAUCCGGAUUUAUUGGGUUUAAAGGGAGCGUAGGCCGGAGAUUAAGCGUGUUGUGAAAUGUAGACGCUCAACGUCUGCACUGCAGCGCGAACUGGUUUCCUUGAGUACGCACAAAGUGGGCGGAAUUCGUGGUGUAGCGGUGAAAUGCUUAGAUAUCACGAAGAACUCCGAUUGCGAAGGCAGCUCACUGGAGCGCAACUGACGCUGAAGCUCGAAAGUGCGGGUAUCGAACAGGAUUAGAUACCCUGGUAGUCCGCACGGUAAACGAUGGAUGCCCGCUGUUGGUCUGAAUAGGUCAGCGGCCAAGCGAAAGCAUUAAGCAUCCCACCUGGGGAGUACGCCGGCAACGGUGAAACUCAAAGGAAUUGACGGGGGCCCGCACAAGCGGAGGAACAUGUGGUUUAAUUCGAUGAUACGCGAGGAACCUUACCCGGGCUUGAAUUGCAGAGGAAGGAUUUGGAGACAAUGACGCCCUUCGGGGCCUCUGUGAAGGUGCUGCAUGGUUGUCGUCAGCUCGUGCCGUGAGGUGUCGGCUUAAGUGCCAUAACGAGCGCAACCCCUCUCCUUAGUUGCCAUCAGGUCAUGCUGGGCACUCUGGGGACACUGCCACCGUAAGGUGUGAGGAAGGUGGGGAUGACGUCAAAUCAGCACGGCCCUUACGUCCGGGGCUACACACGUGUUACAAUGGCAGGUACAGAGAGACGGUCCCUUGCAAAAUGGAUCAAAUCCUUAAAGCCUGUCUCAGUUCGGACUGGGGUCUGCAACCCGACCCCACGAAGCUGGAUUCGCUAGUAAUCGCGCAUCAGCCAUGGCGCGGUGAAUACGUUCCC
rnacentral:rRNA from 1 species